UGUUGAUGAGCUAUUUGAAGAUGACCC
rnacentral:piRNA from 1 species